AUACGGAGGGUGCAAGCGUUAUCCGGAUUCAUUGGGUUGAAAGGGUACGUAGGCGGAUAGAUAAGUUAGUGGUGAAAUCCCGAAGCUCAACUUCGGAACUGCCAUUAAAACUGUCUAUCUUGAAUUUGGUUGAAGUGGGCGGAAUAUGACAUGUAGCGGUGAAAUGCAUAGAUAUGUCAUGGAACACCAAUAGUGAAGACAGCUCACUAAGCCAAUAUUGACGCUGAGGUACGAAAGCAUGGGUAGCGAACAGGAUUAGAAACCCCCGGUAGUCC
rnacentral:rRNA from 1 species